AAAUACUCCUGACUGACCGAUAGUGAACCAGUACCGUGAGGGAAAGGCGAAAAGAACCCCGGCGAGGGGAGUGAAAAAGAACCUGAAACCGUGUACGUACAAGCAGUGGGAGCCUCUUAAUGGGGUGACUGCGUACCUUUUGUAUAAUGGGUCAGCGACUUAUAUUCUGUAGCAAGGUUAACCGAAUAGGGGAGCCGAAGGGAAACCGAGUCUUAACUGGGCGUUAAGUUGCAGGGUAUAGACCCGAAACCCGGUGAUCUAGCCAUGGGCAGGUUGAAGGUUGGGUAACACUAACUGGAGGACCGAACCGACUAAUGUUGAAAAAUUAGCGGAUGACUUGUGGCUGGGGGUGAAAGGCCAAUCAAACCGGGAGAUAGCUGGUUCUCCCCGAAAGCUAUUUAGGUAGCGCCUCGUGAAUUCAUCUCCGGGGGUAGAGCACUGUUUCGGCAAGGGGGUCAUCCCGACUUACCAACCCGAUGCAAACUGCGAAUACCGGAGAAUGUUAUCACGGGAGACACACGGCGGGUGCUAACGUCCGUCGUGAAGAGGGAAACAACCCAGACCGCCAGCUAAGGUCCCAAAGUCAUGGUUAAGUGGGAAACGAUGUGGGAAGGCCCAGACAGCCAGGAUGUUGGCUUAGAAGCAGCCAUCAUUUAAAGAAAGCGUAAUAGCUCACUGGUCGAGUCGGCCUGCGCGGAAGAUGUAACGGGGCUAAACCAUGCACCGAAGCUGCGGCAGCGACACUAUGUGUUGUUGGGUAGGGGAGCGUUCUGUAAGCCUGUGAAGGUGGCCUGUGAGGGUUGCUGGAGGUAUCAGAAGUGCGAAUGCUGACAUAAGUAACGAUAAAGCGGGUGAAAAGCCCGCUCGCCGGAAGACCAAGGGUUCCUGUCCAACGUUAAUCGGGGCAGGGUGAGUCGACCCCUAAGGCGAGGCCGAAAGGCGUAGUCGAUGGGAAACAGGUUAAUAUUCCUGUACUUGGUGUUACUGCGAAGGGGGGACGGAGAAGGCUAUGUUGGCCGGGCGACGGUUGUCCCGGUUUAAGCGUGUAGGCUGGUUUUCCAGGCAAAUCCGGAAAACCAAGGCUGAGGCGUGAUGA
rnacentral:rRNA from 1 species